CAGUCGCCGCGGUAAAACGUAGGUCCCGAGCGUUGUCCGGAUUUAUUGGGCGUAAAGCGAGCGCAGGCGGUUAGAUAAGUCUGAAGUUAAAGGCUGUGGCUUAACCAUAGUACGCUUUGGAAACUGUUUAACUUGAGUGCAAGAGGGGAGAGUGGAAUUCCAUGUGUAGCGGUGAAAUGCGUAGAUAUAUGGAGGAACACCGGUGGCGAAAGCGGCUCUCUGGCUUGUAACUGACGCUGAGGCUCGAAAGCGUGGGGAGCAAACAGGAUUAGAUACCCGCGUAGUCCCUGUCUCUUAUACA
rnacentral:rRNA from 1 species